rnacentral:misc_RNA from 1 species
AUUUCGCUCACCCAUCUCACUUUAUCUCACAAGUUUUUGUUUUCGUAACUUCGAUGCUGGCCCAGUUAAACGUUUAUUAUUCUUAUUAGCACAUACACAAUAACUUAAACUUCAGCUUUUAUCUCACAUUACACACAAAAUGUGCUACGUGAUCAUCACAGGGCGGAGUUUGGCCUGGCUCCUUUUGAGUUUGGUCGCCUUUAUGCUAAUCCUUUCCGGUAUAAUGACUCCCAAGUGGUUGUUAGGGCAGCCUAGGGUGCAAAAUAGGGAUAACGUUACCGGAUUUUAUGUGCCUAGUGUCGGGAUAUACAACAGAUGCUUGCGUAUAAAGGACAGCCAUGAUGACUGCGGUUCAUUCUCUUUCUACGGGUUCGCUACGGAUCCUAGCCGCUACCCUACACCUUGGAAGGCUGCUCUAUUUUUCUUGUCUUUAUGUGCAGCUAUACAAUUCUCGACGGUACUAGCCGGUGUAAUGGCGUGUUGUGUUCAAUCCGUGUUUAAGAAGAGUGUUAUAUCGUUAGCUGGAGCUACUCAAGCCUUGGGAGGGUUAUUCGGCGUCCUAGGCCUCCUGCUGUACCCCUGGGGUUGGGGCACCCAGCGCGUCAGGCAGCUUUGCGGCGAAAACUCGGAGCCCUACAUACCAGGAGAUUGCUCUAUUGGCUGGUCCUUGUACGUGGCGACGCUAGGCGUAGCGCAAGUCUUCUUGGCUAGCGCCUUAUCCCGCAGCGCGGACCGCGCCGCUAGUUCGGAAAAGGUGCAAUUCCAAAUAGACGAGGGGAAGCAGCUUAUUUGUCUAGCUUAGAAAUGCAAAAAAAGUCAUGACGUGUAUACACGUCGUUGAAAAAUCGUAACGUGUAUACACGUCAAUGAAAAUCCACACAUGACGUGUAUACACGUCACUGUAAACAGAUGACGUAUAUACACGUCAAUGGAAGACCUAAAAAGACGUGUAUAUGCGUCAUUAAAAACGUGAUAGUUUCAAUCAUGACGUGUAUACACGUCAAUGAAAACUAGAUAAUGACAUGAAGGCCGAAAAAUACUCUUCCAAGGGAUUAAAUCAAUUGAAACAUGUAGUAAACCCCCAGGCUUGUCCUUGUACGUGGCGACACUCUGCGAAAGCCAAGAGGCUAGCAUCUUAUUCCAGUUGCAAAUAGGCGAGGGGAAACAGUUUAUUAGUCUAGCUUAAAAAUGCAAAAAAAGUUAUGACGUGUAUACACGUCGUUGAAAUAUUGUGACGUGUAUACACGUCAGUGCAACCCGCAUAUGACGUGUAGUUAAAGAUAGCUGACGAUACACGUGCGGAAAGGAAAUUCGUAACUCGUGUCGAUUUAAAACACUCCCUUCGGUUGUGUUUUAAUUUAUGGCUACUUAUGUCGUAAUAUGUACUAUUUCCCAUGUGAAACUAACAGACUGAUACUGACUUCCAAUCUUUAAUACUUGUAUUAAAAAAAAUUGCUUGUGCUUUUAUUAAAAUAAGCGAAAUUAUAAAAAAAAUAUACAUUUAGUUGUAGAAAAAAUUAUUAUAUUUAAGAUACAAAGAUGUGUGGUAAUACUCAUAAUAUUUAGAUUAUAUCUUCAGAACGUGUGUCAUUAAAUGUAUUUAUAUACAUAAUAAUAUAUUACUUAAGGUAUAGCGGGGCAAAUCUCGACUGGGGGGCAAAUGUAACUGGUCCAUUUUUUCCAUGUUUUACAA